GUGAGGAAUAUUGCGCAAUGGAGGCAACUCUGACGCAGCCAUGCCGCGUGCAGGAAGAAGGCGCUACGCGUUGUAAACUGCUUUUAACCGGGAAGAAACCCCAGGACGUGUCCUGGGUUGACGGUACCGGAGGAAUAAGCACCGGCUAACUUCGUGCCAGCAGCCGCGGUAAUACGAAGGGUGCAAGCGUUAUCCGGAUUCAUUGGGUUUAAAGGGUGCGUAGGCGGAGCGUUAAGUCAGUGGUGAAAUCCUGCAGCUUAACUGUAGACUUGCCAUUGAUACUGGCGCUCUUGAGUGCGCUUGAAGUGGGCGGAAUGUGCCGUGUAGCGGUGAAAUGCUUAGAUAUGAUGUAGAACACCGAUUGCGAAGGCAGCUCACUAAGCAAAUAUUGACGCUGAGGCACGAAAGCGUGGGGAUCAAACAGGAUUAGAUACCCCAGUAGUCC
rnacentral:rRNA from 1 species